CGCCUACCACGGGGGGAGGGGGCGGGGCUCGUGACAUCACCGUCGCCUCGGUCACGUGAUCGCCACUUCCGCUACUCCCUCGUUGCGCAUCGUGUUCGUCCCUCGAGGAGCGGCUUGACGGCAUGAGGGCCAAGUGGCGUAAGAAGCGUAUGCGCAGGCUGAAGCGAAAGAGGAGGAAGAUGCGUCAGAGGUCCAAGUGAGCGGGCCUCUGCUGUCCGUGAGACGGGGCCAUCUCCUGUCCCCUGCGGACGUCGCUCAUCUCAGCCCUGCCGCACGUUCUGCCACCAGGACACCAACCAGAAGCGGCCACUACACUCGACAUCGUCUUUGGAGCCGUGCUAUCCACAUUUCGUUGUUUUUACCUUCUGUGUUAAUAAAUGCUGAUCCUAAAACACAA